rnacentral:rRNA from 1 species
UACGUAGGUGGCAAGCGUUGUCCGGAUUUACUGGGCGUAAAGAGCGCGCAGGCGGCCAAGUCAGUCGAAUGUGAAAGCCCCCGGCUCAACUGGGGAGGGUCAUUCGAUACUGCUCGGCUCGAAGACAGGAGAGGGAAGUGGAAUUCCCGGUGUAGUGGUGAAAUGCGUAGAUAUCGGGAGGAACACCAGUGGCGAAGGCGACUUUCUGGCCUGUUCUUGACGCUGAGGCGCGAAAGCUAGGGGAGCAAACAGG